rnacentral:lncRNA from 1 species
GCCGGGGCGUCCCCCGCGGGAGCCCGCAGCCACCCGGGACGCGCAUCCAGACGUGGCGCUUCGGACCGGGCACGCUGCGCCCGGGGGCUCGGCGGACCCCGCGUAGCCGCCGCUUCGGAGCUUGUGCGGCGCGGGCUGGCCAGCGGGGCGGCCAGGGCCCGGCCCGCCUCCCCAGCGCCCGCCCGGCUUCUCCCCCUGGCGGUGGGAGCCUCGGCGGCCGCUGGCGACACUAGGCGCACUGAAGCCCGAGCCGAGCCGAGCCCGAGCCGCCGCCGCCGCCGCCGCUGCUGCGCACCGCUCCCGGGCUCCCUCCCAGCGCGCCGGCCGGGGUGUGGGGGGCGGCGGGCCGGAGGGGCGAGGGCGGGCCAGGGGGCGCACACGGGGGUUGGCGCGGAAGACAGGACCCUCAGCCUCGAGGGAGCCCCUAGGUGACCAGGCAAAAUGGCAGUUCCUUCCAGCUGGUCCUCAGAUGGGCACAUCUAUUAGCCUCUGCUCUUGUAAGAAGUUAGCUGCAGAACCCACAUGUGAAUCCUUGUAGGACUCUGGAGAAGAUCAAAUGGGAGCUUAGAUGUGGAAGCUCUUUGGAAACCAAGAAACACUCUGAAAAUGAAAAGGCAUAAGAAUGUUUAUCACAGCAUGGCAUAUAUUGGAAGUUUAGUAAAUGAAGAUACAUCCAAUCUGACAUUCUAUUCACAACCACAAAGAGAUAAUGUAGAAACAUAUUUAGUAAUGUGAGAAAAUACUAAAUAUUAAGUGAAAAAGGUGGAAGAGUAAACUGUUCCUGUUUCUCCAUCUUGACAGGAAGCAGAAGUUCUCCUUAGCUGAUUUUUCUUCUUGCCUUAUACUGGGUUCUUUAACACCAGAACAAAAAUAAAUAAAUAAAAGAAUCUUCCAGAAAUUCAUGAAGAGACUUCAGGUCAGGAAAGCCUGAACUUUCUCAUCCAACACCCGUUCAAGUCGGAGGAUGCUGAUUAAUUCAUGAUGGAAAGGUAUCAAUUUCACAGCCCAGACCUCUACAUUCUUGAAAUGCUCUUCUCAUGGGAGACAUUAAAUAAGCUUUGAAUUAACUGACCAAUCAUGAUCUUUAUAGAAAAAUUGGAAGGAAGUACAGAAACAUGUGAAUGGAAAAAUAUCCAACCCGAGCAGGAUAAAACUGAUCAUCCUGAGGAUAUUGCCCUUGGAGUUAAUUUUUUGAGAGAAAUAAAACAAUAAACAUCAUAAGACACAAACCCCAAGCAACUGAUCUCACUGUUAAAAUCCAACCUGAGAACAAUGGAAUGGACCAUACUGUCUUUGUCACAACUCUGCCAUUGCAGCGUGAAAGCAUCCAUAGACGGUACACAAAUGCAUGGAUGUAGUUGUACUCCAGUACAACUGCAAAAAGCAGACAGCUGGCUGGGUUUAGCCUACGGGCCAUAGUUUACACAACUCAAUCUAGGUGAUUGCCUGGUAACUUUGUGAUUGUAAACAGGAAA